rnacentral:rRNA from 1 species
CUCUCGCUCCUUCCAUUAACCGGACCUACUUUCCUUCUUUACCAUCCAGGGAAUUUAGCAGAGAUGCUUUGUUUCUUUGGGAACCCUGCUCUCAGGUGCUGCAUGGCCGUCGUCAGUUGUGUUGUGAAAUGUUGGGUUAAGUCCCGCAACGAGCGCAACCCUUAUCCUUUGUUGCCAGCGAUUCGGUCGGGAACUCAAAGGAGACUGCCAGUGAUAAACUGGAGGAAGGUGGGGAUGACGUCAAGUCAUCAUGGCCCUUACGAGUAGGGCUACACACGUGCUACAAUGGCAUAUACAAAGAGAAGCGACCUCGCGAGAGCAAGCGGACCUCAUAAAGUAUGUCGUAGUCCGGAUUGGAGUCUGCAACUCGACUCCAUGAAGUCGGAAUCGGUAGUAAUCGUGGAUCAGAAUUACACGGUGAAUACGUUCCCGGGCCUAGUACACACCGCCCGUCACACCAUGGGAGUGGGGCGCAAAAGAAGUAGGUAGCUAACCAUCGGGAGGGCUAGAGCCACCAGGAUCCAGCACUAUGC